UACGAAGGGGGCUAGCGUUGCUCGGAAUCACUGGGCGUAAAGGGUGCGUAGGCGGGUCUUUAAGUCAGGGGUGAAAUCCUGGAGCUCAACUCCAGAACUGCCUUUGAUACUGAGGAUCUUGAGUUCGGGAGAGGUGAGUGGAACUGCGAGUGUAGAGGUGAAAUUCGUAGAUAUUCGCAAGAACACCAGUGGCGAAGGCGGCUCACUGGCCUGAUACUGACGCUGAGGCGCGAAAGCUAGGGGAGCAAACGGG
rnacentral:rRNA from 1 species